UACGUAGGUGGCAAGCGUUGUCCGGAAUUAUUGGGCGUAAAGGGCAUGCAGGCGGUCGGACGCGUUUCGGGUGACAGCGGGUGGCUUAACUACCCGAGUGGUCGAAAGACGGUUUGACUUGAGGACGCGAGAGGGACACGGAAUUCCGGGUGGAGUGGUGAAAUGCGUAGAGAUCCGGAGGAACACCAGUGGCGAAGGCGGCUCGCUGGGCUUUACCUGACGCUGAGGCGCGAAAGCGUGGGGAGCGAACCGG
rnacentral:rRNA from 1 species